UAGUGGCGAACGGGUGAGUAACACGUGGGCAAUCUGCCCUUCACUCUGGGACAAGCCCUGGAAACGGGGUCUAAUACCGGAUAACACUUUCNCUCUCAUGGGGGAAGGUUAAAAGCUCCGGCGGUGAAGGAUGAGCCCGCGGCCUAUCAGCUAGUUGGUGGGGUAAUGGCCUACCAAGGCGACGACGGGUAGCCGGCCUGAGAGGGCGACCGGCCACACUGGGACUGAGACACGGCCCAGACUCCUACGGGAGGCAGCAGUGGGGAAUAUUGCACAAUGGGCGAAAGCCUGAUGCAGCGACGCCGCGUGAGGGAUGACGGCCUUCGGGUUGUAAACCUCUUUCAGCAGGGAAGAAGCGAAAGUGACGGUACCUGCAGAAGAAGCGCCGGCUAACUACGUGCCAGCAGCCGCGGUAAUACGUAGGGCGCAAGCGUUGUCCGGAAUUAUUGGGCGUAAAGAGCUCGUAGGCGGCUUGUUGCGU
rnacentral:rRNA from 1 species